rnacentral:rRNA from 1 species
AUUGAACGCUGGCGGCAGGCUUAACACAUGCAAGUCGAGCGAGCGGCGGACGGACGAGUAAUGCUUAGGAAUCUGCCUAUUAGUGUGGGACAACAUCUCGCAAGGGAUGGUAAUACCGCAUCCUAAUAGAUGAGCCUAAGUCGGAUUAGCUAGUUGGUGGGGUAAAGGCCUACCUAGCCGACGAUCCCUAGCUGGUCUGAGAGGAUGACCAUCCAAACGGGAACUGAGACACGGGCCAGAUGCCUACGGGAGGAAGCAGUGGGUAAUAUUGCACAAUGGGCGCAAGCCUGAUGCAGACAGGCCGCGUGUGUGAAGAAGGCUUCGGGUUGUAAAGCACUGUCAGCGGGGAGGCGUUACCCGCAGAAGAAGCACCGGCUAACUCCGUGCCAGCAGCCGCGGUAAUAC